GGGGAUAUAGCUCAGCUGGUAGAGUGUUUGUCUCGCAUGCAUAAGGCCCUGGGUUCAAUUCCCAGCACCA
rfam:Ictidomys tridecemlineatus contig079873, whole genome shotgun sequence.